AGAUGUAGCCAAGUGGAUCAAGGCAAUGGAUUGUGAAUCCACCACGCGUGGGUUCAAUCCCACGAAGUCUG
rnacentral:tRNA from 1 species